AAAACUUCAACCUAAGGUUUUGUUGGAGCUAAAGGAUUCCAAAUUGAGCAAGAUUCUGAUGGAUAGAAGACUAGAGGGAAGGUGCCUCAUUCCACUAUCACGAAGCAGCCGGUAACUAGAACGAGGUGUCCUUGU